UUUUAAUCUAUUUCUAUUUCUUUGGUUGAAUUUGUAUUACUUCUCUCUGGUGCAUUUUUAGCAUUUACAAAAUUUAAGCAACUUGUGCACAUCUUUCUGUUCACAGAUUAAAAUGUAUUUAUUUAUUUAGCUAAACUAACUGCAUGCAAAAUGUCAUGGCUUUACCUUUUGGCCUUUGUAGAGGGCCAUCCUGGACUAUUUUUCUGAUUAAUUACCAUUCUUGAAUUAAUG
rnacentral:misc_RNA from 1 species